AGUUCGGAUUGCAGCCUGCAACUCGGCUGCAUGAAGCUGGAAUCGCUAGUAAUCGCAGAUCAGAAUGCCGCGGUGAAUACGUUCCCGGGCCUUGUACACACCGCCCGUCACACCAUGGGAGUCGGUAACACCCGAAGCCUGUAGUCUAACCGCAAGGAGGACGCAGUCGAAGGUGGGAUUGAUGACUGGGGUGAAGUCGUAACAAGGUAGC
rnacentral:rRNA from 1 species